rnacentral:rRNA from 1 species
GAUGAACGCUAGCGGCAGGCUUAACACAUGCAAGUCGAGGGGCAGCACGGGUAGCAAUACUUGGUGGCGACCGGCGCAAGGGUGCGUAACGCGUGAGCAACAUGCCCGUAUCAGGGGGAUAAUCCAGGGAAACUUGGUCUAAUACCCCAUAGCAAUUAAAGGAGGCAUCUUUUUUAAUUUAAAGCUUUGGUGGAUACGGAUUGGCUCGCGUGACAUUAGCUAGAUGGUAAGGUAACGGCUUACCAUGGCUACGAUGUCUAGGGGUUCUGAGAGGAAGAUCCCCCACACUGGAACUGAGACACGGUCCAGACUCCUACGGGAGGCAGCAGUGAGGAAUAUUGGACAAUGGAUGGAAAUCUGAUCCAGCCAUGCCGCGUGCAGGAAGACGGCCCUAUGGGUUGUAAACUGCUUUUGUAUGGGAGCAAUAAGGUCUAUGCGUAGACUGAUGAGAGUACCAUACGAAUAAGCAUCGGCUAACUCCGUGCCAG